rnacentral:rRNA from 1 species
AGCGGCGGACGGGUGAGUAACGCGUGGGUAACCUGCCCCAUACAGGGGGAUAACAGUUAGAAAUGACUGCUAAUACCGCAUAAGACCACGGUACCGCAUGGUACAGUGGUAAAAACUCCGGUGGUAUGAGAUGGACCCGCGUCUGAUUAGGUAGCUGGUGGGGUAACGGCCUACCAAGCCGACGAUCAGUAGCCGACCUGAGAGGGUGAUCGGCCACAUUGGGACUGAGACACGGCCCAG